GGUGAACGCUGACAGAAUGCUUAACACAUGCAAGUCCACUUGAAUUUGGGUUUUUAACUUAGGUUUGGGUGGCGGACGGGUGAGUAACGCGUAAAGAACUUGCCUCACAGCUAGGGACAACAUUUGGAAACGAAUGCUAAUACCUAAUAUUAUGAUAAUAGGGCAUCCUAUAAUUAUGAAAGCUAUAAGCGCUGUGAGAGAGCUUUGCGUCCCAUUAGCUAGUUGGAGAGGUAACGGCUCACCAAGGCGAUGAUGGGUAGCCGGCCUGAGAGGGUGAUCGGCCACAAGGGGACUGAGACACGGCCCUUACUCCUACGGGAGGCAGCAGUGGGGAAUAUUGGACAAUGGACCGAGAGUCUGAUCCAGCAAUUCUGUGUGCACGAUGAAGUUUUUCGGAAUGUAAAGUGCUUUCAGUUGGGAAGAAACAAAUGACGGUACCAACAGAAGAAGUGACGGCUAAAUACGUG
rnacentral:rRNA from 1 species